CCUACGGGGGGCUGCAGUCAAGAAUCUUCCUCAAUGGACGAAAGUCUGAAGGAGCGACGCCGCGUGUAUGAAGAAGCCCCUCGGGGUGUAAAGUACUUUUAACUGUGACGAAACAAUGACGGUAGCAGUUGAAUAAGGGGCUGCUAACCUCGUGCCAGCAGCAGCGGUAAUACGAGGGCCCCAAGCAUUAUCCGGAUUUAUUGGGCGUAAAGCGUCCGUAGGUGGUUUAUCGCAUCUCCUGUUAAAUCUCGAGGCUCAACCUCGAGUCAGCGGGAGAGAUGGCUAAACUAGAGACUGGAAGAGGCAAACGGAAUUGCUGGUGUAGGGGUUAAAUCCAUUAAUAUCAGCAAGAACACCAAAUGCGAAGGCAGUUUGCUAGGACAGUUCUGACACUCAGUGGACGAAAGCGUGGGGAGCGAAUGGGCUUAGAUACCCGUGUAGUC
rnacentral:rRNA from 1 species